rnacentral:lncRNA from 1 species
GAAUAGGAUUUGAGUGGAAAUGUGAUUGGAGUAGAAGGCAUCAGGGAGGGAGCCUGAGCUGAGACCACAUCUUGAAAACACAGAAUUGAGGGAGCAGAUGGAAGAAAGAAAGUCAGCAGGCUUGGAGGAUGAUGAUAACCCCAAGAAGAUUAAGGUGCUGGUGGAGGAGGUGGUUGGCAAAGGAGGGAACCUGUGCAACAGCCAGGGACACCCAAGGAUGGAUCAGGUUUGGUUUCUCCUGCUGGGGAGCACCAAUUCCAAGAGGAGGAGGGUGGCACCCCCGAGGCUCUUCGCCAGACCCCCCGGCCUUGACCUCAGUGCUGCCCUCACAGUGGAC